rnacentral:rRNA from 1 species
CCUACGGGAGGCAGCAGUGGGGAAUUUUGGACAAUGGGGGAAACCCUGAUCCAGCAAUGCCGCGUGUGUGAAGAAGGCCUUCGGGUUGUAAAGCACUUUUGUCAGGAACGAAACGGUGGGGGCUAAUAUCCUCUGCUAAUGACGGUACCUGAAGAAUAAGCACCGGCUAACUACGUGCCAGCAGCCGCGGUAAUACGUAGGGUGCGAGCGUUAAUCGGAAUUACUGGGCGUAAAGCGUGCGCAGGCGGUUGUGCAAGACAGAUGUGAAAUCCCCGGGCUUAACCUGGGAAUUGCAUUUGUGACUGCACGGCUAGAGUGUGUCAGAGGGGGGUAGAAUUCCACGUGUAGCAGUGAAAUGCGUAGAUAUGUGGAGGAAUACCGAUGGCGAAGGCAGCCCCCUGGGAUAACACUGACGCUCAUGCACGAAAGCGUGGGGAGCAAACAGGAUUAGAUACCCUGGUAGUCCACGCCCUAAACGAUGUCUACUAGUUGUCGGGUCUUAAUUGACUUGGUAACGCAGCUAACGCGUGAAGUAGACCGCCUGGGGAGUACGGUCGCAAGAUUAAAACUCAAAGGAAUUGACGG